UACGUAGGGUCCGAGCGUUAAUCGGAAUUACUGGGCGUAAAGCGUGCGCAGGCGGUUUUGUAAGCCAGAUGUGAAAGCCCCGGGCUCAACCUGGGAACUGCAUUUGGGACUGCAAGGCUUGAGUACGGCAGAGGGGGGUAGAAUUCCUGGUGUAGCAGUGAAAUGCGUAGAUAUCAGGAGGAAUACCGAUGGCGAAGGCAGCCCCCUGGGUCGAUACUGACGCUCAUGCACGAAAGCGUGGGGAGCAAACAGG
rnacentral:rRNA from 1 species